CUGGGCAGUCAGAGGCGAUGAAGGACGUACUAACUUGCGAUAAGCGCAGAUAAGGCAGUAAGAGCCGUUUGAGUCUGCGAUUUCCGAAUGGGGAAACCCAACUGCAUAAGCAGUUACUGUUAACUGAAUACAUAGGUUAACAGAGCAAACCGGGGGAACUGAAACAUCUAAGUACCCCGAGGAGAAGAAAUCAACCGAGAUUCCGGUAGUAGCGGCGAGCGAACCUGGAUUAGCCCUUAAGCACUCGGUGAAGUAGGUGAACAAGCUGGAAAGCUUGGCGAUACAGGGUGAUAGCCCCGUAACCGACGCUUCAUCGAGCGUGAAAUCGAGUAGGGCGGGACACGUGAUAUCCUGUCUGAAUAUGGGGGGACCAUCCUCCAAGGCUAAAUACUCCUGACUGACCGAUAGUGAACCAGUACCGUGAGGGAAAGGCGAAAAGAACCCCUGUGAGGGGAGUGAAAUAGAACCUGAAACCGUGUACGUACAAGCAGUAGGAGCACCUUCGUGGUGUGACUGCGUACCUUUUGUAUAAUGGGUCAGCGACUUAUAUUCAGUGGCAAGGUUAACCGUAUAGGGGAGCCGUAGCGAAAGCGAGUCUUAACUGGGCGCUCAGUCUCUGGAUAUAGACCCGAAACCGGGUGAUCUAGCCAUGGGCAGGUUGAAGGUUGAGUAACAUCAACUGGAGGACCGAACCGACUAAUGUUGAAAAAUUAGCGGAUGACUUGUGGCUAGGGGUGAAAGGCCAAUCAAACUCGGAGAUAGCUGGUUCUCCCCGAAAGCUAUUUAGGUAGCGCCUCGGACGAAUACUACUGGGGGUAGAGCACUGUUAAGGCUAGGGGGUCAUCCCGACUUACCAACCCUUUGCAAACUCCGAAUACCAGUAAGUACUAUCCGGGAGACACACGGCGGGUGCUAACGUCCGUCGUGGAGAGGGAAACAACCCAGACCGCCAGCUAAGGUCCCAAAGUAUUGCUAAGUGGGAAACGAUGUGGGAAGGCUCAGACAGCUAGGAUGUUGGCUUAGAAGCAGCCAUCAUUUAAAGAAAGCGUAAUAGCUCACUAGUCGAGUCGGCCUGCGCGGAAGAUGUAACGGGGCUAAGCAAUACACCGAAGCUGCGGCAAUAUCUUUUAGAUAUUGGGUAGGGGAGCGUUCUGUAAGCCGUUGAAGGUGGAUCGUAAGGUUUGCUGGAGGUAUCAGAAGUGCGAAUGCUGACAUGAGUAACGACAAAGGGGGUGAAAAACCUCCUCGCCGGAAGACCAAGGGUUCCUGUCCAACGUUAAUCGGGGCAGGGUGAGUCGACCCCUAAGGUGAGGCCGAAAGGCGUAAUCGAUGGGAAACGGGUUAAUAUUCCCGUACUUCUGACUAUUGCGAUGG
rnacentral:rRNA from 1 species